ACUCACCGUCGACAAAGGAGAUUGUUCCAAUGAUAAGAAAAAUAUAAACAAAGAUAAAAAAAAAUUUUGUACACAUUAUGAGCCGAUCACAUGAAGCAGGCUCGCUGCAAACUUGUUGGUCAUCCUUGAAACUGGACACCAUGAAGCUAUAAUUUAAAUAAAGCCAACAGAACACCAAGCAUCAAGGAAAUGGGCCUGUUACUCAAG
rnacentral:lncRNA from 1 species